CUAUCUUCGGCCUGUCACUGCACAUCAGUGACAGGGUUUGGUAGCCCUGGUG
rnacentral:ncRNA from 1 species